rfam:Ixodes scapularis strain Wikel colony gcontig_1108379846596, whole genome shotgun sequence.
CCCUGGUUAGCUCAGUUGGUAGAGCGCUCCACCUGUAACGGAGAGGUCCCGGGUUCGAUACGCCGGACCAGGCG